rnacentral:rRNA from 1 species
GAUGAACGCUGGCGGCGUGCUUAACACAUGCAAGUCGAACGGAAAGGCCAGUGCUUGCGCUGGUACUCGAGUGGCGAACGGGUGAGUAACACGUGGGUGAUCUGCCCUGCACUUCGGGAUAAGCUUGGGAAACUGGGUCUAAUACCGGAUAGGACCAUUGGUUGGUGCCUUUGGUGGAAAGUUUUUCGGUGUGGGAUGAGCUCGCGGCCUAUCAGCUUGUUGGUGGGUAAUGGCCUACCAAGGCGUCGACGGGUAGCCGGCCUGAGAGGGUGUACGGCCACAUUGGGACUGAGAUACGGCCCAGACUCCUACGGGAGGCAGCAGUGGGGAAUAUUGCACAAUGGGCGCAAGCCUGAUGCAGCGACGCCGCGU